rnacentral:rRNA from 1 species
UACGAGGGGGGCAAGCGUUGUUCGGAAUUAUUGGGCGUAAAGGGCGCGUAGGCGGUGCGGUAAGUCUGUAGUGAAAUCUCUGGGCUCAACUCAGAGUCUGCUGCAGAAACUGCCGUGCUUGAGUGUGGGAGAGGUGAGUGGAAUUUCCGGUGUAGCGGUGAAAUGCGUAGAUAUCGGAAGGAACACCUGUGGCGAAAGCGGCUCACUGGACCAUAACUGACGCUGAGGCACGAAAGCUAGGGGAGCAAACAGG